GUCCCGCAACGAGCGCAACCCCUAUCUUUAGUUGCUACCAUUUAGUUGGGCACUCUAAAGAGACCGCCGGUGAUAAGCCGGAGGAAGGUGUGGAUGACGUCAAGUCCUCAUGGCCCUUACGGGUUGGGCUACACACGUGCUACAAUGGUAACUACAGAGGGCAGCGACUUAGCGAUAAGUAGCCAAUCCCAAAAAGUUAUCUCAGUUCGGAUUGGGGUCUGCAACUCGACCCCAUGAAGUCGGAGUCGCUAGUAAUCGCAGAUCAGCAACGCUGCGGUGAAUACGUUCCCGGGCCUUGUACACACCGCCCGUCA
rnacentral:rRNA from 1 species